UUAAGGUCAAGCGCAAGAGUAAGAACUACACAAGGAGUUAGAGUACCUUAGCAAAACUUUGCUAUCAGGUUGAGCUGUGAUGGGCGAUGAAGUGUUGUUGCUGAGUAGAGCUUUUGUCGAACUUAAAGUAGGCUCAGAAAGGAUACAUGUCUUCAUACAUGUAUCUCAGUUAUGCUUUCCGCUGUAAACACUGAUUAUUUCAGUUACGCCUUCCGUUGCAAACUCUGAUAAAGUUUUACUCAAGCCUCUAACGAUGCCUUUUUCCUUUUUAAGGAAUAUUUCACGCA